AUUGAACGCUGGCGGCAGGCCUAACACAUGCAAGUCGAGCGGAGCGGCGGACGGGUGAGUAAUGCCUAGCAAUCUGCCUGCUAGUGGGGGAUAACGUACGGCAAGGGGCGCUAAUUCAUCAUACUAUCAGACGAGCCUAGGGCGGAUUAGCUAGUUGGUGGGGUAAAGGCCUACCAAGGCGACGAUCCGUAACUGGUCUGAGAGGAUGAUCAGUCACACUGGAACUGAGACACGGUCCAGACUCCUACGGGAGGCAGCAGUGGGGAAUAUUGGACAAUGGGCGAAAGCCUGAUCCAGCCAUGCCGCGUGUGUGAAGAAGGUCUUCGGAUUGUAAAGCACUUUAAGUUGGGAGGCGUUACCAACAGAAUAAGCACCGGCUAACUUCGUGCCAGCCGCCGCGGUAAUAC
rnacentral:rRNA from 1 species